rnacentral:lncRNA from 1 species
CCAAAAUCCCAUUUUUCUUCAAUUCACUCCCCAAAUUGGUUUACAGAUGUGAGUUAACUUACUGUAUGCACUCAGAACCUAUUUCUAACAUCAAAAUCAUCAUUGCAACUCCAAAAUCAUCUUUUCCUCAUAAAACCCCAAAAUCCCCAAUUCUCACCAAAACUCUGUUAAACACAAAAUCAUAAAUUAAUAGCUAUACUACUGAAGUAAAUCUCACCCUUACCUUAAAUUUGCAGAAGAAAAUGCACAACAAUAAAGAUUCUUGAGUUCUACUUGCUCUUCUCUCCUUUCUCCCAAAACUGUCAGUUCUUACGUACAAUGCUUUCUAACUUCUAUUUUCCUAACUUCCCACUUACUUAACUCUUUUUAAUUCUCAUUUUACUCCCCCUUAAUUCUAUUUAAUUCUAUUAACUCCCCAAACACCAAAAUAAUUAAUAUUUCACCCUUAUUCUAAUUAUUAUUAAAAUAAACCAUAUAAUAAAAUAAACACACCACAUAAAUCACCAAAAAUCAUAUAUAUAUACACUCCAUAUAAAUCAAAAAUAAAUAACACAACGAUUAGAGUGUUACAGAAAAUACGAGGGAAAAUGAGAAAAUCUUUCAAUUUUUUUAAAAGAGUAGUUUUUUAGAAAAUGAUAAAUUAACACAUAUGAUUACUAUAAUAAUAUAACAACAUAUGUUAAAUUUGAAUAAUUCAUAUAAACCCUCAACUCCCCCCUCUCAAUAAAAAAAAAAAAAACAUAUCCAAUGCAAUUUUUUAGUUCUCCAAAGUUAUGAGGGUUUAGUAUUAUGAAGAAGUUAAAUCCCAAAGUCUUCCCCUCCCAUUUUCCUCUAUUUCUUUCACUUGUUCAAUUCUUUUUUCUUAAAAUUUAUCCUUCAAUCCCCUCCAAAAUCGCAAACAAAGCCGUAAGACAUGACUCAAAAUCAUUACCAGUUGACAAGUGAACGAGCCUCCACUACCGUUGCUCCAUCUUUAUCUAAAAAAAGAGUCAGAUAUGUAUGAAGUUUCUGCCCUUGAUCACUUAGCUUCUAAGGUGGACGCGUUGUUGAAACAAAAUUGGUUUGUACAAUUCCUCUAAGAUUUUGAUGAUAAUAAAGUAUUAAAGAACAAUUGGAUAUGCUAAUAUAUGUUAGUAUGCAUGACCAUAUAUUAAAUUUUAACAAGGUCUUAACAUGUAUAAGAGCAUCGAAUGCACAAUAGAAGCUCAAAGACUAUGGUAGAAGAUCUAAAGAAAGUUUAACCAGAAGUCAACACCUUGUUUGAUUGAUUGCACAUUAAGCCAUUCUGCAAUGUAAAUAUUUAUCAUGGUUUUAUCUCUUUGACUUUUUAUGGUAAGGUUUUUAAUGAAGACAAUUGUUAUAUGUUUGUUAUGAUUGUACUCUUGAUUUUCAGCCUAAUCCUCUCAAGUUCUCUUAAUUUUAUUUUAUUUUAACAAAUUUAUUGGGGUUCUGUAAAUGGCAAGCAGGGUUCUUGGAAUGCCGACACAAUUGAAAUGUCAUAUUUUUUCCUGGAUACAUUUGCACUUUAAUUAUUUCUUAAAAAAUUAUUCCAUUUAUUUUGAUUUUUUGUGUGAUAUCUUCUUAAGAAAAUGAAUGUAAGAAUACUUGCAUAUCACAAUAAUACACCUUAAGGUUGUAAUAAAAUUGAAAGACUUGAGGAAUAUUAUUAUAAUUGUGCAAACAUUAUAACAUACAUAUAAUUUCUUACGUUUAGAGGUAGCAUAAUUAUUCUCUGGACAUCUCUAGAUAAUAAUCAUCGUCAGACAUUUCCCCUAAAUCGUACUCACAUAUUUUAUUAUUACACUUAAAUGAGUAAUGUGACAUCUCUGGACACUCAUCGUCAGACAAGCAAGGAAUACCAUCUGCAUUGUCAAUAUUUUUUUAAUAAAUGUUGUUAAAAUAUUGUGUAUAAGAUAAAUUAGAAGAUUCAAAAAUGGUUUGAAAAAUUACAUACCUCUAACAAAUAGAGAACUAAAGAUGAUCAAAGCAUAAAUCAAAGCAUAAACAAACAUGAUAAUAUGAGCCAUAUUUUUCCUCCUUUGUAUGUAUUAAACAUAUUUUUUUUGAUUGCUUUAUAAGUAAAUAUUUUAUGCUUUGGUAACUUCAAUUAAACAAUUUUUAACACUUAGGAAUUGAAAGAAGCCAUUUAUUA